rnacentral:rRNA from 1 species
UACGUAGGGCGCAAGCGUUGUCCGGAAUUAUUGGGCGUAAAGAGCUCGUAGGCGGUUUGUCGCGUCUGCUGUGAAAUCCCGAGGCUCAACCUCGGGCUUGCAGUGGGUACGGGCAGACUAGAGUGCGGUAGGGGAGACUGGAAUUCCUGGUGUAGCGGUGAAAUGCGCAGAUAUCAGGAGGAACACCGGUGGCGGAAGGCGGGUCUCUAGUACGGUACUGACGC